GCCUCACCCCUGUCUCCCUGUCAAGCCAAGACCAUGAGUAAGGAUAGGCCUGGCUCAAAACUGAAGCUUCCAGGCAGACAGCCCAGACCAGAUGCAAGAAGAAUGCCUCAGUGGCCUCAUGGGUGAAGGACUCAGGGACAUCCUUUCAUCCCAAUCCCCAUGGAACCUGGAACAAGUCUUCUUCGGAGAAGGCACGAGGCUCACGGUUGUAGGAAUGAGUUCAGAGGAGGGUCCCUGUAGGGGCAAAUUCAUCCAGCCCCUCAAGGGCCUCCAUCAACUCAGAGCUGAGCCUCGGUGGUUAGGGCAGAGAAGGGAAAGGAGGUGGUGCUGCCCCGCUGAGGAGUUACCUGAGAUAGGGGAGCGGAGAGAAAGCCUGGAAGAGAACCUGAACCAGGUGACCCUACCCAAGGUGGCUGUGUUUGAACCUUCGGAAGCAGAGAUCUCCCGCACCGAGAAGGCCACGCUCGUGUGCCUGGCCACAGGCUUCUACCCCGACCACGUGGAGCUGAGCUGGUGGGUGAAUGGGAAGGAAGUCCAGACUGGGGUCAGCACGGACCCUCAGCCCUACAGGGAGCAGUCAGAUGAUGAAAACCCCAGCUACUGUCUGAGCAGCCGGCUGAGGGUCUCUGCUGCCUUCUGGCACAACCCCCGCAACCACUUCCGCUGCCAAGUCCAGUUCUUCGGCCUCGAGGAGAACGAUGAGUGGAAAGAGAACCGGACCAAACCUGUCAGGCAGAACAUCAGUGCUGAGGCCUGGGGCAGAGCAGACUGUGGCCUCAGCUCAGUGUCCUAUCAGCGAGGGGUCCUGUCUGCCACCAUCCUCUAUGAGAUUCUUCUGGGGAAGGCCACCCUGUAUGCUGUACUGGUCAGCGCCCUCGUGCUGAUGGCCAUGGUCAAGAGAAAGGAUCCCUGAAGCCAGCUCAAAGGUGGAGCUAGAAGCUUCCAGACCAUUAUCACCCCACCAUGGAGUUUCCUUUUUCUUUUCCUAGCCAGGGCUUCUGAAGAGCUGUUCUCAUCUCUCUACUCAUCCUGAUAUCUACUCCCUCAAGUGCUUGCACACCUCGACACUCAUGACCAAAAUCUCUCUGACCCAAGGGGGACCCUAGUGUGCCUGUGUUGACUGAACCAAUAAAAAUGGCCUGUUCUGGCUUGACUCUGC